GAUGAAGAACGCAGCGAAAUGCGAUAAGUAAUGUGAAUUGCAGAAUUCAGUGAAUCAUCGAAUCUUUGAACGCACAUUGCGCCCGCCAGUAUUCUGGCGGGCAUGCCUGUUCGAGCGUCAUUUCAACCAUCAAGCCCCCGGCUUGUGUUGGGGACCUGCGGCUGCCGCAGGCCCUGAAAUGCAGUGGCGGGCUCGCUGUCACUCCGAGCGUAGUAGUUACAUCUCGCUCUGGGCGUGCUGCGGGUUCCGGCCGUUAAAAGCCUUAUUUACCCAAGGUUGACCUCGGAUCAGGUAGGAAGACCCGCUGAACUUAAGCAUAUCAAUAAGCGGAGGA
rnacentral:misc_RNA from 1 species